CCUUAAGGACACAUGACAUAUGUGACAUGUCAUGAUUCCCUUUUAUUCCAGAAGUUUGGUCCUUAAGGGGUUAAAGGAGGCAUACUCGUUGCAGAGUCCAGGGACACUGUGCCUGAUACUUUAAUAGCUAUUGCCCUGUGGUGCGUGUGGUUGAAAUAUAUUCAAUCUCUUAUUGAAAAAGUCUGAAGAGACUAAACUGUUCACUUCGAAUCUCU